rnacentral:rRNA from 1 species
CUUAAGCAUAUCAAUAAGCGGAGGAAAAGAAACCAACAGGGAUUGCCCCAGUAACGGCGAGUGAAGCGGCAACAGCUCAAAUUUGAAAUCUGGCGCAAGCCCGAGUUGUAAUUUGUAGAGGAUGCUUCUAGGUAGCGACCGGUCUAAGUUCCUUGGAACAGGACGUCAUAGAGGGUGAGAAUCCCGUAUGUGACCGGCCCGCACCUUCUACGUAGCUCCUUCGACGAGUCGAGUUGUUUGGGAAUGCAGCUCUAAAUGGGAGGUAAAUUUCUUCUAAAGCUAAAUACCGGCCAGAGACCGAUAGCGCACAAGUAGAGUGAUCGAAAGAUGAAAAGCACUUUGGAAAGAGAGUUAAAAAGCACGUGAAAUUGUUGAAAGGGAAGCGCUCACAACCAGACUUCUGGGCGGUGUUCCGCCGGUCUUCUGACCGGUCUACUCGCCGUCCCGAGGCCAACAUCAUCUGGGACCGCUGGAUAAGACCUCAGGAAUGUAGCUUCCCUCGGGAAGUGUUAUAGCCUGUGGUGAUGCAGCGCGUCUCGGGUGAGGUCCGCGCUUCGGCAAGGAUGUUGGCGUAAUGGUUGUCAGCGGCCCGUCUUGAAACACGGACCAAGGAGUCUAACAUCUAUGCGAGUGUUCGGGUGUCAAACCCCUACGCGUAAUGAAAGUGAACGGAGGUGGGAAGCGUGAGCUGCACCAUCGACCGAUCCUGAUGUCCUCGGAUGGAUUUGAGUAAGAGCAUAGCUGUUGGGACCCGAAAGAUGGUGAACUAUGCCUGAAUAGGGUGAAGCCAGAGGAAACUCUGGUGGAGGCUCGCAGCGGUUCUGACGUGCAAAUCGAUCGUCAAAUUUGGGUAUAGGGGCGAAAGACUAAUCGAACCAU